UACGUAGGGGGCAAGCGUUGUCCGGAAUUAUUGGGCGUAAAGAGCGUGUAGGCGGUCCGGUAAGUCAGCUGUGAAAGUCAAGGGCUCAACCCUUGAAUGCCGGUUGAUACUGUCGGGCUAGAGUCCGGAAGAGGCGAGUGGAAUUCCCGGUGUAGCGGUGAAAUGCGCAGAUAUCGGGAGGAACACCAAUGGCGAAGGCAGCUCACUGGGACGGUACUGACGCUGAGACGCGAAAGCGUGGGGAGCGAACAGG
rnacentral:rRNA from 1 species